GAAAACAUUAAAGGGUUAACAGAGGAGCCAUGUUGAAUGACUUCCUGGAGGCGGAGCUUCUUGAAGAGGCAGACACCCAGUGUCAAGGCGUUAAAUCAGGAAUUUAAUUUUUUUUAGGUCAUAUUUGGUAUAUAGAUCAUUUUAUAACACCUGAAGGUAACACAGUUACUUCAUUGUGCUAUAAAAUGGGACAUUGUGACUAGAAAUCAUAACGCUGCCCCUGUAAUGCCUGAAUGCUUCGUGAAUAACCUUUACUGGGGGAAAUUUUCAGAAAAUUGCAGAAAUUAUAAUAAUUUUCCCUAAAUAGCGCCACCAGGAGCGGCUCUUUGCCCUCCUGCAUGUGGAGACAGCAAACAGCCUGGUGAUUACAGCUGGAGAGCUCUCCUGGUGAUGAGUGAUAAGCAGGCUGCAGCUCAUGUUUCAUUUUCUGUUGGUUUUGGUUAAUCAGCAGGAAAUCAGUUGAUUCAUGAUGGACCUAAUUAUUACUUAAUGGCUUCAUGUUUGAGCAGAUUCCUCCUGAGAAAUCACCGCUUCUACAUUUAGAGCGGUUUAUUAGAAAAGUGAUGAAAAUCUGUUUGUCUGUGGCUAUGAUUUAUGGUUUUAUUAGAGUUUCUGCAGGUUGUGGAGGAGGAUGUAACUUCACCAGGAUUCUGGAGACGUUUUUAGAUCAGAUGACGUUUCUUUACCUCCAUCAGACGAAACUCCCACUGAGAGCCAGACGAUCGAUAAUCUGAAUAUAUUCUGAGUUUCACUUCCAACUGCUGCUGUGGGGGUAGAGAACACACACACACACACACACACACACACACACACACACCAGACAUGUUGCUGCAGGCAGAUCUUCCCUGUGGUGAGGCCUUAAAGCAUUUCCUGUGCAACUGACAUGGAAACAGAACCCAGAACAUCAGGAACCAGAGACGAAGCUCAGCGCUAAUCUGUAUCUGUCCAUGUCCUGCUGCAGCAUGGAAACAUCCAGGAGAACCACUUCCUGCUGCAGCAGCAUGGAAACCUCCAGGAGAACCACUUCCUGCUGCAGCAGCAUGGAAACCUCCAGGAGAACCACUUCCUGCUGCAGCAUGGAAAGCUAGCUAGCUCCUGCUAGUUUUUAAUCUGUUUAGCAGUUUAAAAUUCACUGCCGCUAAGUGUUUUUAAAGUGUUUUGCAGUUUAGCGUUAACUUCUACUAAUUUUUAAGAUGUUUCGUGGUUUAGCGUCAGCAGAACUUAAGAUUUCUGGUUUGUGGACUAGUGGCUAUCGGCGCUAGCCUUUUGGCUAGCUGUGCUCACCACAGCUAAAAGCUGCUGUUGAUUUUAAUGUUGGAUCAGAAUGUCCUGCUGCAGCUGGAUUGGUCCAGUUGUUGCUCAGGUGACAUGUUUUUGGUUUUGUUCCCAAAGUUUUAGCUGAAAACAAAACAUGCAGUUUUACCGUUGAUGCAGAUGUUUAGCAGCUGGAUGUUUAUUUUGUUAGCUAAAUAUUUAGCAGGUGACUCUGCAGCAGUGAGUUCCUCACUGCGCUUUUUGAGCAAGGCUUAGUGUUGCGUCAUCCCGUCCUGCUGCAGCCCCCACCCCUCUCUCUCAUCAGAUUUUAUUUUUCUGCGCCGUUUCUGCAGGCUGAGUCAAAUCGCUCCAACUUUCUGCAAACUGAGCUGAAACUUUUCGUCCUCCAGACUGGCUGGCCUCUGCGUGAACUCGCAGCGCUGCAAUCCCGUUACUGCAGCGUGGAGAAGGGACGGGAACCGGAGGGAUGCCGUGGCAACGGGGCGAGUCUCAGAAGAUAAAAAUAAGCUCAUGUGGCUCUAAACCUCCAUGCAUGGAUUUCCACCAAGGAGAUCCCAGGCUUGUAGAACAGCACAGACAUGACAGCACUGUCUGCAGACUGGACUCCUCAUCUUCCUCGCUGCGUCCCUCUGGGUUUCCUCUCAGCCUUCAAGCGGCGCAGCGCUGCAGACUGGAAGUGAUUCAGAGGUUUUCUAAGGCUGGUUGGACACCUGAUGGGAGGAAUGAUCUGAGCAGAACAUGUUCAGGUUCAGGUGGAGCAGCGACUCCAGUUUGGGGCAACGAGCUGCAACAGAGAGUAAAGUAAAUGGAUGAAUUCUACGGAAGACCUGAAGUGCCUAUAGGGGAGCAUAAGAAAAUUGUGAUCAAUUUUCGGACAAAAAAAAAUAUUUCUUUUAUUUUUACAGGAAGCAACCAACAAAAUAUUCUUUUAAGU